CAUGUGAGAACACAUCCCUUAUGUGAGAACUCUAAUCUAUAUAAGAACAAAUCUAGACCAUUGAUCAAAUUAAAUCUAAUCAUCCAAAAAAAACAUAGUAAUGGCAUUUCCGUAAUUUCGUGAAUUACACCUCCUUCUCUCUUUACUAUUCUUCUUGGCUUUCACAUUCAACAUCUCUUUCUCUCUCUAACCUUUUUGCUGCUAUCUCUCUCCUCAAAUCAGUGUUUUUGGGGAAAUUUUAUACCAACUUGAAGUUUUCGCAAUUUUUUUUGCUUCGCCAAUUGCAAAUGGAUUCGGUUGAACAAGUUAAUGACGAA